rnacentral:rRNA from 1 species
UACGAAAGGGGGGCUAGCGUUGCUCGGAAUCACUGGGCGUAAAGGGUGCGUAGGCGGGUUUUUAAGUCAGGGGUGAAAUCCUGGAGCUCAACUCCAGAACUGCCUUUGAUACUGGAGAUCUUGAGACCGGAAGAGGUAAGUGGAACUGCGAGUGUAGAGGUGAAAUUCGUAGAUAUUCGCAAGAACACCAGUGGCGAAGGCGGCUUACUGGUCCGGUUCUGACGCUGAGGCGCGAAAGCCAGGGGAGCGAACGGG